UGACAGUUAUGAUAUGUCGAAUGAGUCGGCCGACUAUGCGUCGGGGGUUGACUGUUGGUUGAAAACUUUGAAAUACCGACGAUCGAAGUAGUCCGCUGUCUGUAGUGUCUGAACAUCGGUCGUUUGUUGAUCUUGAGUCGAUGAGAUGUGUUCGAUUGGUCGGUUGAGAGUAGUGUCGGUCUGCUUGAUCAAUGUUCGGUCGGUAGUCACUUUCAGGAUCAUGUCUGUUUGUGGG
rnacentral:lncRNA from 1 species